GACGAAGGUGGCGAGCGUUGUUCGGAAUCACUGGGCCUAAAGCGCACGUAGGCGGCUAAGUAAGUCGGAUGUGAAAUACCUCGGCUCAACCGAGGAACUGCGUCCGAUACUGCUUGGCUUGAGGUCCGGAGGGGAGAGUGGAAUUCCCGGUGGAGCGGUGAAAUGCGUAGAGAUCGGGAAGAACGCCGGCGGCGAAAGCGACUCUCUGGUCGGAAUCUGACGCUGAGGUGCGAAAGCUAGGGGCGCAAACGGG
rnacentral:rRNA from 1 species